ACACUUUCGCUCCGUUAGUGAGGGUAUAAGCACGUCCUAUUGACUGCUGAUCAUUUACAGCCGCUAGGACGGGGGAUCUAAUCCCCCUCGCUCCCCUGGUUUUUUUGCCUCCUCGUCGUACAAGAUCGACUGUGGCGCUUUUUUCACCGGCGUUGCUUCUCAUAAUAUCACAUUUUUUCGCUCCUCCGCAUGUUCCGCACACCCCUAUCUCAGUCCUCAUCGUCAGUUUAAGGAGGCGUUCCCCGGUUGAUGAGGGGGGUUUUUUCCCUACGUGAGAGCCGCCUACUACCCUGUUUUAUGCCCAAUUCCUAAUAACUAUCCUUGCUUCGC
rnacentral:rRNA from 1 species